rnacentral:rRNA from 1 species
AAGUGGCGGCGUGCCUACACAUGCAAGUCGAACGAGAAAGUGGAGCAAUCCAUGAGUAAAGUGGCGACCGGGCGAUGUAACACGUGACCAAUCUGCCCUUGAGUGGGGGAUAACCUCGGGAAACCGGGGCUAAUACCGCAUAACAUCUUCAGGUCGGAAGAGCUGAAGAUCAAAGGAGCAAUUCGCUUAAGGAGGAGGUCGCGGCUGAUUAGCUAGUUGGCGGGGUAAUGGCCCACCAAGGCGAAGAUCGGUAGCCGGCCUGAGAGGGCGCACGGCCACACUGGAACUGAAACACGGUCCAGACUCCUACGGGAGGCAGCAGUGGGGAAUUUUGCGCAAUGGGGGAAACCCUGACGCAGCAACGCCGCGUGGAGGAUGAAGUCCCUUGGGACGUAAACUCCUUUCGACCGGGAAGAUAAUGACGGUACCGGUGGAAGAAG